AUAAAUCAAAUAAAUAAUCUGCGAAUAGUAAAAUUAAUGCCUUACUUUAUCUCAGGAAUGUUCUUCAAGAUGACCGACUUUGGAUGUUGUGGAUAACCGGGAUAUGUAUGCCAUUUUGGUAGGUGGAAGAAACAAAAAACUCAAACAUUCAGAUUUUUUUUUACUUAUCUAUAUUCUGUGAGAUUAUACUUAAUCUUAGUAAAAUGGUAUUUAUACAUUAGAAGCUAUUGAAUUUCCUUUAAAGGAAAUUACAACAUAUCCCAAGAGUUCUGCUCUGCGUAUAGAUCUUCAAUAAAGAAGUACAGUUUUUUGGCAAUGCGGUAGGCUUUAAUAACUAAUUUUGGAGUUUUACAUGAUUCUUCUCAGUUCUUACCAUGAAGGCUUGACUAUGCUUAAUAAAUAGCAAUUUAAUCAUGUUGUUUAAUGUCUUUGUUUCCUGAGAAAGAGAUUUUGAGUGAUUUUAAUUUAAAAGCUUGAAAUGUUAAAAGUUUAUUUUUUAUGGAGGGGUGAUUUUUAAUUAUUUAAAAAUAAAAAAUAAAAAAAAAGUAAUUGGAUACAAUUUUAUUCUAUAUACCUUUUUUUCUUCUCUACCAUUCUAAUAUUAUUUUAUAUUCAGCAAGUGUAAGCAAAUGUCUUGCUUAUAUGUGUAUUGUUAUAAAUCCCCUUCGUCUGUAUUCAGGAUGUCCUUGUGACAGUAAUGAGCUGGCAUAACAGGUGAAUUUAUAAUAACAUCGCUAACAGAAAAAUGGGGUAAAAGUCAUAAUGCAGAGUAAUCACCAUGGACACAAUGGGAUCAGUUGGAGUAUUUCAUUGGUUUCCAUGGUGAUGUAUUCCCUUUUUAAAGUAUUUCUAUAUUUUUUCGUAACAAUCUGUGCUGUAACCUGAAUCCUGAGAAUAUUCCCAACAUACAAAAUCUCACAUUUUAAUCUUAGAAUAUUAGCCAAUGUCAAUGACUCAAUAUCGCUGCACCGUCUUCACCACAGAUUCUCACUUACAGAUGAGAUAACAAUAACUUAUAUGUUAGAGCCUAAUAUUUCACUUAUCUUUAACUUCCAAAUGUUUUCCUUCCCAUGACCAGUCUCAAAUCCCUAAAAACUCAACCUUUCAAUAAAACCUCCAACUAUAAUUCAAUUUAUAAAGCAUAACCCAGCAAUGCCUUUCGUGGUACCCUGAGAUAUUGUUCUCAUGUUUGAGAAGUGAAGUUAUAUGUUGUUUGAUACAAUCAACUAAGCUAUUAAUAAGUGCAUUUUAUCUUAUAUUUUUUGACUAUUUAGUUACAACUCCUGGAGAAAAUAAAAGAAGAAUAUCUACAGAAGCCAAGUAUUAACAACUAAGGAGUUGGUCACAGCCCAGCAUCAAUAUCUGAUCAAUAACAUUUCCUGAAUUCCAUCCAAUGUUAUGAGUGUUUUCAGUACAAUGUCAAUCCAAAAAUAUCUCAACCGUUUUCUGCAGGAAACACUGUCAAAGUUAGAAAUUGUUAUUGAGUUAAAAUCAGGCUUAAAGUUAGACAUCCUUCUUCUUGACACAAUCUCAAAAUCCAUCCUCAGACUGUAAGUUAUUGACCCAAAAAAUUAAUCCAUCCUUUAAAGAUCUGAUCGGCCUGAUAUCAGUAUACAUGUUGCUGAAAAGUGACAAAAUGGUGAAUUUGUGAUUGCAUCGUCAUCAUCCAAAGCCCAUCAGCUGAUGUUAACAUAUUGAUAACUAUCAAACACAAAAUUUAGAUAUAUCCUCAGCUGUGACAAAACACCAUUGUAUCCAAAAAAUAUAUAAAAAUUGAAUCCCACCCUCAGCAAUGAUAGUAUGGAGGAUUAAUGGCAACCAAUAAAUAAAUAAGUUUCUAU
rnacentral:lncRNA from 1 species